rnacentral:misc_RNA from 1 species
AAUAUGUUAUUUCUGAGUCACAUAAAGAAACUGUGAAUAUUUUAUAUUUCCCAGUUAAAAUCUUGCUUCAUGCUUCCUUUAUCUCUUUUGUACUUUCAUUGCCAGCCUUGUAGUUGGGUCACUUUCAAGCUUAAAUAGCCUUCUAAAGACGAAAAAUAGUUAGACAAGUGGGUCGUUCUAUUCAGUAAAAUUGUUAAAGUGAUGCCUGGCAGAUUGAGAUGGAUUUGGGAUACCCCAAGUCUGUUCUGUGGUUUCAGCAAACAUAAUUUGGACUGAACUUUUUAAAAUAUAGUUUUUUACCCUUGUGCUUGUUACUUGAAAUGGAAUGAUUUGAGUGUGGAUUGUAUGACCCUGCUCUUUUGUUUCAGCUGGUUGUUG